GUAACUACCAGCAGGUCCAACCAAGCCAGAGAGGCCUCAGCUGAGGAGCAGAACUAAGAGCACCUAACCCAUUAGCAUUAUGAAGAAUCAAACCAAAACGAAGUCUAUACUGGCUUGGUCAUCGCCCAGGAUAAAAAGGAACACGGUGGAUGCUGCUGAUUCUGGACAUCCAUCGACAAGUGGGCUAUGGAAUCAAAAUACAAAUGAACAGUCCCAGAAGCGGCAGAAAUAUACAAUGCCAGAAAACCGCAUAGCUACUUUAGUCUUCUAUCCAACCCCAUCUCCCCGAGGGGACUUGGGCUGGCUUACAUGGGGACAAAGCCCAGUAAUACAACAAUAAAAUAUAUCAACAGAAAUACAUUGCAAUUACAAUGAAUUAACACAUAAAAACAUAUAAGAUAUCAUAAAAACAUAACUCAACAACAACCAAUAACCGAUAGCCAAGUGCAACGAGCGUGCUCAGAGCUGGAGGCAGGGCAAUAAUAGGGCAUGUGCAAUAUACUGCAAGGCCACUGGUAAAAGGGACUAGCAAUAAAGUGCAGAGGCUGGGUAUUAAGAUAGAGGUAGAAGGACUAAGUCAAGUUGUAACCAAUUAGUCAAAGACACAUUGGAACAACCAAGUUUUCAGGUCUUUCCAGAAGGUGGACAAGGCAGGGGGCUAGGACUAAUAAGUAAUGGGAAGUGAAUGACCAAAUAUGUGGAGGCGGAAAACUGCAGAAUGAAACCUUCUCAUUGAAGCAGUCAGUGAGUCUAGACAGCUAUGUGGAUUUCCAUGGCAAAUAAAUUUCCAAAUGGUAAAAUUGCUGCCAUAUUUCUAAUUAUCAGGAUUAAAUGAGCCAUGAAGAACCAAGGAACACAGUAACAAAGACAGCACGUGGCCACUGGAGUAACAACCUAAUGUUGACAUCGCAGUUGUUUCUACAAUAAACUUUUUAAAUCUUUAAAGCAUUGUGUAGCAAUUGUCCACUUUUGCAGCAUUCCUUUUAAGUAGACUACUAUUCUAUUUAUCUAAUUACAGUAUUUGUAUUCCACCCUUCUCACCCCGAAGGGGACUCAGGGCAGAUCACAACAAACACAUACACGGCAAACAUUCAUGACAGACAAAUAGAUAGAGGUAUAUCGGCAUUUUUUCCCAACUUCUGCGCCUGGAGGUUAUGCUCAAUUCUGGCCACAGGGGGUGCUGUCGCUCCAUCCUCUAUGACGACAAGCCCUCUGAUGGCAGAAUUUUUUCUCCUUGUUCUUUGAUCACCGACAUUUUUAUAGUGCCAUAAAGUACCUCCCCGCUAAGCAGUGCCUAAUUUCUCUGCUCACAGCUCAGCUGUUUCCAAACUACCUAGGUGGACAAUGAGCUGGUUGACAGUCUGGUGCUCACUCCGACUUGGGCUUCAAACUGCGAACCUUCCAGUUGGCAAUGAUCUAUUGCUGCUGGUGAUUAACCAGCUGUGCUAAAGCCCGGCCCACAUACUAGCAUUCCUUCCUUACAUUAGUAUGUUUUAUACUUGUCAUGACUUUGCUUUUUGGUACCUGUUCUGCCCCUACGUGCCAUUUCUAAACAAAGUGUCUUAAUCUUGUUGAGAACAGAUUGAGGUGGCACAGAUGAAUAUUUAACAAGAAUUCAAUAAUAACAAAGUUCCAAAUCCUGACUCCUCCCUGGGCUAACUAAUAAAAAGUCUUUAUAAGAGAGGGUAGAAGUCUUGCUGAAUCAAGGUUUUGUGUAGCGUACUCUGUUCUGUCUUGGGCUUCUACUUUCUUGUUCUUUUUUCAUCUGCAAAGAGCUCCAAUAAAAUGUGCUGAAUGGUCUUUUCUCCAGCCUCCUUCAACCCUCCUUGCACAAAUGGCUGACUUCAAGGGUGUAGCUGGGUUUGGCUGUAAGGCUCCAUCUCUGGGCAGGGUUCUUAAAGGGAAAGCAUUAAGGGAAAUGGGCUAACUUUGGAUCCCUCCCACAAUAACUACCAUGUUUCCCCAAAAAUAAGACAUACCCAUAAAUUAAGCUUUAGUAGGAUUUCUAAGCUGUUGCUCAAUAUAAGCCAUAGCCCAAAAAUAAGACAUAGUGAUAGGCAUGGCUAUGCAGUGUACUGGUGUGGAGUGGUAAAGAAGAUGGGCAGCCCUUUUCAUCUGCCCCAUCAUGACAGCUGCUAUCUUGGAGGUGACCAGAGAGGUGCAGGCAGCCACAUCAACAAGGUCGGCUCCCCCGGUCAGGUCACGAUCGGUUGGUAUGUGCGGGCUGCAAGCGGUACCUAUUGAUCUACUCACAUUUGCAUGUUUUCGAACUGCUAGGUUGGUAGGAGCUGGGGCUAACAGCGGGCGCUCAUUCAGCUCCCGGGACUUGAACCUGGGACCUUUCGGUAUGCAAGUUCAGCAGCUCAGCGCUUUAACACACUGCGCCACCACCAGGGGCAUUGUAUUUUUAUUAAGUAUGUUGUACCAUACUUAAUAAAAAUAAAACAUCCCCUGAAAAUAAACCAUACUGCGUCUUCUUGAGGAAAAAUAAAUAUAUUACAGUGUCUUAUUUUUGGGGAAACGCAGCAUAUACAAUGCACACUAGACCUUUCUAACUGGGGAAUUAAAUAAGGGAAGGCUCUGUGGUGGCACAACAGUACCCCUAAAAAAAGAAUAGAUGUGUUAAAAUUAGUGGUUGUAUCUGAAAUGGAUAGUUUGUGAAAUUUGUCUUUCUCUUUUGAAAUUAAUAAAUCUUGAAAUAAUGCAUUCCGAUUUUUAAGAGAAUGUUGAACUUUGUAGCAGCUGAUGUUCAAAGGUGGCACUUUGUCAAAGUAACAUUUCAUAUUGAAUAACUUAACUUUUUAAUCCUGUGUGCUCAGGGAUUUAAGCCCAAUAAUGUCCACAUGACUAUAAGUUAUAUAUUUUCAAUUGGAGUUCAGUAUUUUUUUUGUUAACAAACUCCCACCAUGUGAGUACUAUCUGAUUUUAAUACAUAUACAUGUGAAUUUCCAUUAUUUUACUUUAAAUUUUAUUUUAAUUGUUUUGCUGCCACUAAUGGCAAAAUGGGAAUAUAAGUUGAAAUGCCUAACAGUAAUUAAUAGCAAUAAAAAAUAGGUUCCCCUGCAUGUUUCUAAGAGCUUACAAAACUUUGGUGGAAAGUACAGAGGGGAGAAAAAGACAUUUAAUGCCUUUCUAAAGGGCAAUGAGCUGAUGUUGGGUUGACAUUCAAUAAGUAAUUGUUGUUUCUUGUGAUAUUACUACCAUUUGAGCCCUGAGACCAAAGUCUCCAGUACUGGUAAUGCUUUAAUGAAUAAUAAAAUUUAGGGUGGAGGAAAGCCAUUGGGUGAAAGUGGGACACAAGGC